GUGAAUGUUUGUGUGACUCCAAGCGCUCUGUGUGCGGACGACAGGUGGACAUGACAUGACUGCACUGGAGAGGAAGAAAGCAAAGGACCUACGUGGUCAGCAGGUGUUCCUGCGCCCCGAGGAGCGACGCUCCACCACGGUGUCCGCACAGCUGCAGGAUGCUUUGCUGCGGCUGGCGGCGG